rnacentral:rRNA from 1 species
AUCCUGGCUCAGGAUGAACGCUAGCGACAGGCUUAACACAUGCAAGUCGAGGGGCAGCGGGGAGGAAGCUUGCUUUCUCCGCCGGCGACCGGCGCACGGGUGAGUAACACGUAUGCAACCUGCCCGGAACAGAGGGAUAAGCGGGAGAAAUUCCGUCUAAUACCGCAUAACACCCUGAGAGGACAUCCUCCUGGGGUCAAAGGAGGCGACUCCGGUUCCGGAUGGGCAUGCGGCGCAUUAGCUUGUUGGCGGGGUAACGGCCCACCAAGGCGACGAUGCGUAGGGGUUCUGAGAGGAAGGUCCCCCACAUUGGUACUGAGACACGGACCAAACUCCUACGGGAGGCAGCAGUGGGGAAUAUUGGUCAAUGGGCGAGAGCCUGAACCAGCCAAGUCGCGUGAGGGAAGACGGUCCUAUGGAUUGUAAACCUCUUUUGUCGGGGAGCAAAUGCAGCUACGCGUAGCUGAGAGGAGAGUACCCGAAGAAAAAGCAUCGGCUAACUCCGUGCCAGCAGCCGCGGUAAUACGGAGGAUGCGAGCGUUAUCCGGAUUUAUUGGGUUUAAAGGGUGCGCAGGCGGAGGCGGCAAGUCAGCGGUAAAAUUUCGGAGCUCAACUCCGGAGAGCCGUUGAAACUGCCCCACUAGAGUGGGCGAGAAGUAUGCGGAAUGCGUGGUGUAGCGGUGAAAUGCAUAGAUAUCACGCAGAACUCCGAUUGCGAAGGCAGCAUACCGGCGCCCUACUGACGCUCAUGCACGAAAGCGUGGGUAUCGAACAGGAUUAGAUACCCUGGUAGUCCACGCAGUAAACGAUGAAUACUAAUUGUUCGGGCCGAGUGAGGCCUGAGUGAUACAGCGAAAGCGUUAAGUAUUCCACCUGGGGAGUACGCCGGCAACGGUGCAACUCAAAGGAAUUGACGGA